UACGUAGGGGGCAAGCGUUGUCCGGAAUCAUUGGGCGUAAAGCGCGUGUAGGCGGUCCGGUAAGUCCGCUGUGAAAGUCGGGGGCUUAACCCUCGGAUGCCGGUGGAUACUGUCGGGCUUGAGUACGGAAGAGGCGAGUGGAAUUCCUGGUGUAGCGGUGAAAUGCGCAGAUAUCAGGAGGAACACCAAUGCGAAGGCAGCUCGCUGGGACGUUACUGACGCUGAGACGCGAAAGCGUGGGGAGCAAACAGG
rnacentral:rRNA from 1 species